rnacentral:tRNA from 1 species
GGGCCGUUAGCUCAGUCGGUAGAGCAUCGGACUUUUAAUCCGCUGGUCGCAGGUUCGAUUCCUGCACGGCCCACCA